AGGAUAAUAGUUAAAUCCAUAACGUUUAAGUUGCAUUUAAAAAUUAUUGAAUACAAUUUAUCUUA
rnacentral:tRNA from 1 species